rnacentral:rRNA from 1 species
AUGGCUCAGGAUGAACGCUGGCGGCGUGCUUAACACAUGCAAGUCGAACGAAGCCAAAAGGAAGCUUGCUUCUUGAAGCUUAGUGGCGGACGGGUGAGUAACGCGUGAGGAACCUGCCCUUCAGUGGGGAAUAACAGCCGGAAACGACUGCUAAUACCGCAUAACGUCGAAGAGCCGCAUGACUUUUCGACCAAAGGAUUUAUUCGCUGAAGGAUGGCCUCGCGUCCGAUUAGGCAGUUGGUGAGGUAACGGCCCACCAAACCUACGAUCGGUAGCCGAACUGAGAGGUUGAUCGGCCACAUUGGGACUGAGACACGGCCCAGACUCCUACGGGAGGCAGCAGUGGGGAAUAUUGGGCAAUGGGCGAAAGCCCUGACCCAGCAACGCCGCGUGAAGGAAGACGGUCUUCGGAUUGUAAACUUCUUUGAUUGGGGAAGAAUAAAAUGACCUACCCAAAGAACAAGUCACGGCUAACUACGUGCCAGCAGCCGC